rnacentral:sRNA from 1 species
GCCAGGUGCGGUGGCCACGCCUGUCAUCCCAGAGGCUCGGGAGGCUGAGGCAGGAGGACCGCAAGGUGGAGGCCAGCCUCAACAACUCAGUGAGACCCUGUCUCUA